rnacentral:antisense_RNA from 1 species
AAUCAUCAGGUGGUGAAGCCAGCCUGACUUGUGUCCUUCCCUUCAUGGUGGUAAUUAUCCAGUUGAUAUUUAUCUUGUUCCAGUCACCUUAAGAAAGCUGUUUGCUCUCAAAUCUCCAGGCAGCCUCUAUUGAUUGAUCUGAGUUGGCAGAUGAGUUGGCAGGUUUUGGAAAUCACUAGUGGGUAAAAAAGACCAAUUUGCAACUAGGCUCUCAUGCUCUAUUGAAAACUAUGUCACAAUAUCACAAUACUAGAUGCUGGGCUCAAGAGAGCAAACAGAAAGCAGCAAGGGCAGUGACUGGAAGCUGGGAGAGAGGGUCAACAGCUGAAUCUCAGCCUGAUGGAGGCCAC